UCGAGAAUCUUCGGCAAUGGGCGCAAGCCUGACCGAGCGACGCCGCGUGUGCGAUGAAGGCCUUCGGGUUGUAAAGCACUGUCGAGGGGGAGAAAGCCGCAAGGUUGAUCGACCCCUGGAGGAAGCACGGGCUAAGUUCGUGCCAGCAGCCGCGGUAAGACGAACCGUGCGAACGUUAUUCGGAAUCACUGGGCUUAAAGGGCGCGUAGGCGGGCUGCCAAGUCAGAGGUGAAAUCCUGCGGCUCAACCGCAGAAGUGCCCCUGAUACUGGCGGUCUCGAGGGGGGUAGGGGCAUGUGGAACUUCCGGUGGAGCGGUGAAAUGCGUAGAUAUCGGAAGGAACGCCGGUGGCGAAAGCGACGUGCUGGACCCCUUCUGACGCUGAGGCGCGAAAGCCAGGGGAGCGAACGG
rnacentral:rRNA from 1 species